rnacentral:rRNA from 1 species
AUUGAACGCUGGCGGCAGGCUUAACACAUGCAAGUCGAGCGGGGGAAGGUAGCUUGCUACUGGACCUAGCGGCGGACGGGUGAGUAAUGCUUAGGAAUCUGCCUAUUAGUGGGGGACAACAUCUCGAAAGGGAUGCUAAUACCGCAUACGUCCUACGGGAGAAAGCAGGGGAUCUUCGGACCUUGCGCUAAUAGAUGAGCCUAAGUCGGAUUAGCUAGUUGGUGGGGUAAAGGCCUACCAAGGCGACGAUCUGUAGCGGUUCUGAGAGGAUGAUCCGCCACACUGGGACUGACAACAGGCCCAGUCUCCUACGGGAGGCAGCAGUGGGGAAUAUUGGACAAUGGGGGGAACCCUGAUCCAGCCAUGCCGCGUGUGUGAAGAAGGCCUUAUGGUUGUAAAGCACUUUAAGCGAGGAGGAGGCUACUCUAGUUAAUACCUAGGGAUAGUGGACGUUACUCGCAGAAUAAGCACCGGCUAACUCUGUGCCAGCAGCCGCCGUAA